UCGAGAUCAGAGAGGAGUGCCAUACAGCAGCCUGAAAGAGUAUUUGAUUAUCGUGAAAUAUCUGUGCUCGAGGCUGGCACAUGGCACAUGGCUCUUGAAUAACAUCCGAUGUGUCUCUCUUGUUUAUAAGAAUUUAAAACCCAUUCAAAGAUUGUGAUUUAUGCGUCCCUGGGGCUGUGAACAAGAAUGAAAGAGCCCAGGACAUUGAUGAAGACAAGGAAAGAAGACACCUGAGAAGAACCAGAAGAAUAAAAGUGACAGGUUGGAAUACAACCAUUUGGGACAUUUAUUUUUGUAGAUGAAAGUUUAUUUUACUGUAGAUGUGUAAUGAUAUUUAACUCAAUAUAUCAACAAAUGUAAACUUAUUAAGUGGUUUGAUAUUAUCCCCUUCUCUCAGUUACCUCUAAGGCUGAAAUUAGAUCAUAAGUAACCUGUAUGAAUAUAUAUAUUUUAGUGUGGGUUCUAAAGAGUACUUUUGGAGAAACCACACACUUGUAUUAACAGAUAGUGCCCCUCUGGAUAAAGUCUGAGUGGUUCCCAGAGCAAAGAGUAGUAAUAAGGUCUUUGCUAAGGAGCAUAGAAAAGGGAGGGCGC